CCUCCGGGGAGGCCAGGGUGGGAAGGGAAAUGGGCAAAGAGGAGGCGGGGAGGAACGGCCUGCGGGGUGCGGGACAACUUUUUCAGUUUUGGCUCCUCGCGUUCCUCUUCGCGCUCCCCUUCCCCAAAACAACUUUCUCUUCCGGGGUCAGGCGGGACCGCCCCGAAGCGUACCUUGCGUGCCGUGGGCGCCCGCGGCUACCGGAAUCUGGGUGGUUUUGAGGUGUCUUCAAGUCCUAGCUGCUACUUUCCUGGGCAUUGUGUGCUCGCUGCUGACAGCAGCCCCAGGAGGGAGAGCGGGCCGGCCCGCGCCCUGCGAGGUAGUCCCGGCCAGAGGUGCCCUCUGGGCCGCGGGCACCGCCUGCAGGCUGUGUAACCUGGGAGCAGGUCUUCGGGAGUCGCUGUUUGUCUAUAUAGUAGGAGGAAAUUCCCCCCCCACACACACACACACACCCCAUUCCACCAAAAGCUCGGGACUCAGAAAGUCAGUGAGAUGCCCAUAGAUGGAGGUGCACCCCAUCAGAAGCCCAAGGGCAGAAAGACAAGCUGGCAAAGCCUUUCUACCUCUAGGUAUUACACACAAAAAAUUGAAUGUUGCUAUCAACAUUUUUAAACAAGUCUUCAUAUGAACUCAAACUCCAACCUCCACAUUCCAGACCCCACAAUCUCAUGGUAUAGAUGCCCCUUCAGUUACUGCUUGCUUUGGGUCACUCUCCAGUACCUUCAGAAUUAGUAAUUGAGAUACAAGUGAUUGGAAGUAGGACAUCCGGUACAGAGACUUGGAGAGACAUAGAGAAAGAGCCAUGAGAAAACAGAGACUUUGGGGCCCUACUCCACAACUACAAGAAUCUACAAGUGAAGAUCUUCAGCUGAUUCUUUUGCACAUUAAGAUGUAAAGUGGAAUAUAUAGAUAUAUGUGCCAGAGGAAAAAAUAAAAUCUUGAAGAAAAGAAUGAAGAAAAGGAGCCAAAUGAAGAAUAAGUGGAGAAAGAAAUAGAAGAAACAGAAUCAAAGACUGCAUGCUAUAAGGGAAACCAGAUGAUACUACCGCCAGCUUUCUUCCAGUGGUUUGCUCUCCUUCAUAACCCUGAAACCUAGACCUGACUUACCUCUCUUGCUGUUUGAUCAAUUCAGAGGCAGAGUGAGAGACUAAUGUAUGCUAGGAAGGCAGACAGAUAAAUUAAAAUCGUAGAAGAGAUCAUCCUGUAGUAAAGUAAUUUAUGGUCUGAUUUGGAAAGCACUGGAAGAGUCAAAUAGCAUUAAGCUGACUGUGAUGUGUCAGUCACCAAGCCAGUUGCUUAGCUGCAAUGAUUAAAUACAUGGUUCUUCUCCUUGUGCUGGGAAAAUUGCAACAUAAAUUUUGCACCACAGUAUGGAGCUGGAGUCAUGAUUUGAUGGUUGAGUAGGAACUGACCAAGUGGGCUGCAGGGGAAGAUAAGGGAGCCAGAAGUUACAGCAGGAUAAAGCACAAUAUUUGGGAAACAGCAAGAAGUUCAUUGCCACAGGACUGUAGGAUGAUCAAGGGAGUGUGAAGAGUUAGGCUGAAGCACUCUUCAUCAUCAUCAUCAUCAUCAUCGUCAUCAUCAUUCAUUCAUCUACUAGCUCACUCACAUGUUCAUCAUAUAAAUAUUUCCCUAAUGUACUUUCUAGAAUCUCAGUCCCAACAGGUUAUAUACACAUCAUGGUUUAAGUAAAGCUCUUGAAUAUUGUUUAUGAGCAGAUAAGGAUUCUAGCUGAAAUCAUCCUUGGUCUGUUGCUUCGCCUCGACCUUCAUUCUCCUCCUCCAUAAUAUGCCCUUAAAACCAUAACUGUUUUGGGGCCUCCCUGGUGGCACAAGGAGUUAAGACACAACCUAUGAAGCUAUCUGCAGCCACUGCAGCACGAGUUCAAUCUCCGGCCAGGGAGCUACCCACAUGGCGCAGCAGACCUCUCCUUUCUCACCACUGCUCCCCUCAGCAGUGUAUUUCAGUAGAUCC